GGAAAGAGGAAAUUGCACAGCUUGAAAACAAGGUGACGUCUAAGUACCUAACUGGCUGGACCUCACACAGGGAAGGGCUGCAAGUACAAAGUCCUGCACCAGACUGCAAUCUAUCAGAGCAACUUUCAGUUCACUCCAGCCUCUUUCUUUGGGUUGUUUUUGAUGGUUGACAUUUUUCUGUUCUAUUUGCGUAAGGAUUUUUUAGUUUUUAUAUUAUAAAACUGCAUCCAAGCUUCCUGGCGUGCUGUGCCCUACCCCUAAAAAGUGGGCUUCCUUUUGAAUGAAUGCACUCCUGCCACUUCCAUAAUCUCUGACUCAUAAUCCAUUGUACAGUUGGGAAGGUGCCAUGAGGCUGCAACACUGUCUCUCCUGGAGCCUCUCUCUGCUACCUCUGCUCUUGUUGUCUUGUGGGUACCAGUGCGUGUCGGUCCACUUCCAGACCCCGCAGCCGGUCAAUGUUCUCCCAGCCGGACGUCUAGUUCUCCAGGUCCAGAUCGACCGCGGUCCCAAAGAAAAGAUCUCCAUGAUAAACUGGGAGCGGGAGCCAGAGAACGCAAAGACCCCAGGGAAUCCUGGGAAGGUGACGUUGAUUACGUUCCCCGGUCAAGAAAAACGCUUGGACGGGCGUCUGAGUUUGGAGGAGCAGGGGUCAAUACUGAAGCUGGAGGGCUUUGGCGUGGCAGACAGUGGGGUGUACAUCGUGACCGUCACUGACCAGGCUGGCGUCAAGACCUCUGGACAGUGUACCGUCAAGGAGUACGGUACGACGGUCAACAUGGUCUAAGUAGAAUAUAUCAAAAGUGACAUUAAACCGUUGUUCCAUGUCACCUAUGCUGACGUAUUACUUAAAAUGUCACUAUAAUGACGUGUUGUUAUGUGACAACACAGACUUUCUGAUUAUGUUGCCGUUUGGAAUACAUUCCUAGAUAUUACUUCCUGUCCUCUGGAGUUAUGUUCUUAUAGAGGAUGAACUGUUGGGUCAGUUCUGCCUAAGUGCUUUCUUUGUCUUUAUAAUAUAAAUAUAUGCUUCACUGCAGUCCAACACUCAACUUUGAGUCGGUAAUAUUUCAGGUUAUCAGUCCAACGACUGUCUCGCACAAUCCCUCUUCAAUAGUUCCAAGCUCUAUAUUUGUCUCUGUCAAAUGUCUUCUUUCUAAGUAUCUGAUCUGUUUUCUCCUCACAGCCUCAUACUUCUCAAGUCACCCCCCCCAAGCCUCAGUAGACAACACGCUCAACUCACGACUCAACCACCCUCUGUCACUCUCUUUCUCCUCCUCAAUUUUCAGUUCCAACUUCCAAGUCUCACCUUUCUCACACCUGGUCUCAUUCUCUUUUCGCUGUCUCUUGUCUUUCCUCUCAGAGGCUGUGCACCACCCCUCAGUGAGAGUGAAUGUGUCCCACUCCUCCCUGUUCUGUGUGGAGACCUGGGGGACAGACCUUAAAUUCAGCUGGCUCCACGAGCGGGCAGCCAUAACCGAUGCUGUGGGACACGUUUCGCCUGAUGGGAAGACCCUCGUCGUCUCCUCCGCCCCCAUCUGUGGUCACUUCACCUGCAUGGUGAGCAACAAGCUGGGCCACAGCUCUGCCACCUACACAGCAGGUAUGGAACCCCACGCACUAACUAACCCCAUCUGUCUCUCAGUCUCUACACAAACCCCAUCUGUCUCUCAUGCCUGAUUCACAUUCCAGGACCAAACCGAGCCAAGCCAAGCUGCACUGGCACGGCCUGGUUACGCAUCCACCAUACUGUUUUUGAUGGAACCGUGCUAGAAAUAAUCAUGUUGGCCCUAUGAUGUGAAUCAGCCAUCUGUCUGUUAGUCUCUAUGCCAGUGGUCACCCACCCUGGUUAUGCAGAGCUACAGUGUAUGCAGACUGUUCCUCUAGCUAGCUAGCGUAGCUCAAGGCUGAAUCAGAUAUGGUUGUGCUAGGUUGUAAGAAAACCCUGCAGACCCUGUAGUUCUCCAGGACCAGGGUUGGUGACCAAUGUUCUAUGUAAUAGCACUGCCAAGCAUGGGUAAGAAAUAUCAUAUCUCCUUGACAGACAGAACAGGUAGGUAGGUAACUUUUCCUCAAAGGCAUUGCUGAAUGCAGAAACAGUCGAUGCCCAAGCUAGUGCCCUCACCAUUCAUAUCCAUUGAAUGUACAGCCUCGGUGUGUGUGUGAGUGGUAUGCCCUAUGUAGCGUUCGUGUUAAUACUGUAUGAACAGUGUCCAUAUUUCGAGAGCCAAGUCCAAGUGACUCCGAGGCUGUCCUAUGGACACCAUAACACGUCCCCAUAUUGUUUUGUUGUGACCUUGUCCUGUCUGGUCCGUCAGAGCCGUGUGAGAGAGAGGGCAAGAGGACCACGGUGGCGGUGGUCUCUCUCAUCAUCUUGCUGGUCUGUGGAGCAGCGCUCGCUUUUCUACUGUGGAGGAGACACAGGCGAUACAGUAACAGAGGCGAGAGGCUUCAGGAGCAUUUUGAGGACAACUUGUAAUGGUGAACCAUUGAUACCAGUACCCAAGGUAUUUCGCUACACUCCCCAACUCAAAGAUGGACUCAUAAAAGGACAGUAAGUGUACAAAACGCUUUGGGAGGAGCUUCCUUCCCUGUGAGCAGCAUGACCUUUCAGUGCAUUGGAACAAUGUGGAGAGUGAACUGCUUGUUGGCCAAUUGACGAGUUCUAAAAAUGGAAAGAGCAACUUUUGCCCGGUGUGUUGCCUGUUUUUGUAGUAGCUAUCAUUUUUACACCGCCUCGCAUUGUACUGAACUACACACUACUUUUUUUUAUAUAAUGCUCUAAAAUAAUUUGUUUUAAAUGAAAAACAAUUCCGUAUUUUGUAACUUUUGUAUAUUAUAAACAUUUUGUAUAUUUAGCUGUGUAUUCUUUGUAAUAAAAAGCACAUUUUAAACUGUGUGAAGCUUUGGUUAAAUUGAUCGCUAUUGUAAAUCCACAAUUCAGUCAGGGAAUGGGAGUCAAAGUACAAGACCUCUAUACAUAGUGAAUUUCAAAAUGAUUUGUGGCCAUGAAUAAAAGUGUGCGUGUGUGAGUUCAUGUGUGUGUCCACCUCAUCAGUACACCUCUCUGGUCAAG
ensembl:lncRNA